UAAAUUGCUCGUGCAUCAAUUACAAAACUGCAUUCAUGGAUUAGUCUGUUGACAAAAAAUCUGCAGCUAUUUAUAUAAAGUCGUUUAAGUAAUUUUGUAAGCUAAAGUGCCACAAAUUCAAUGGUUCUGACCUCUCGUGUUUUUUUUUUAACCAUUUUUUUACAAAUGCCCUCUUAUGCUGCUAUACACAAAUUACAAAAUGGCAAUAAAACAAGGCCCGACAUUGUUCUAAGGAAAAAGGGCAACCCUAAUCAACAUUACAU